AAGGGCUUGCACCAGGGUAGAUGCAGCUUCAGAGGAGUGAAGGGAAUGUAUGAGAGAGAUACUAUAAAGAGAGGAUCAACAGGUCUUAGAACACUAUGGUCUGUGAGCAAAUGAAGAAAGCCUUUUGUAAACUGUAAUGUGGACGAUGUCACUGUGAGUUAUUGCUGGGUUUCUCUUUGUGGGAGGCGGAGCUAGGGUCAAAGGCCAUCUGAAGAGAGGCUGCGCUCCAGGUAACGUCAGGUGCUUCUUGAAAGGACUCUCAAAAUGAUCUAAAGUGUUGAUCUGGGAAAGGUUCUUUCCACAAUGGCAGACAGCAAUCAUUCAGGAUGCUGACAGUGGAAGUGAUGCAGCAUGCAUGCUGAAGAGGAAAGAGGAGAGGG